rnacentral:rRNA from 1 species
GACGAACGCUGGCGGCGUGCUUAACACAUGCAAGUCGAACGGAAAGGCCCUGCUUUUGUGGGGUGCUCGAGUGGCGAACGGGUGAGUAACACGUGAGUAACCUGCCCUUGACUUUGGGAUAACUUCAGGAAACUGGGGCUAAUACCGGAUAGGAGCUCCUGCUGCAUGGUGGGGGUUGGAAAGUUUCGGCGGUUGGGGAUGGACUCGCGGCUUAUCAGCUUGUUGGUGGGGUAGUGGCUUACCAAGGCUUUGACGGGUAGCCGGCCUGAGAGGGUGACCGGACACACUGGGACUGGGAGCCGGCACAGACGCGGACGGGGGGCAGUGGUGGGGAAUCUGGAACACGGGGCGGACGCGCGGCGCAGGACCGGCGGGGGCGGAGUGCCCGACGUGGGGUAUUAACCCGCUGCCGCCGGUGAGGAAGGGUGAGUGAUGGUAAGGGAUAAAGAAGCCCCGCCUAGCUACGUGCCGGCAGCGGCGGUAAUAGGGAACAGCACACGCUUUAAC